UUGUUCCUGGGGAAAAAAAUAUCUCCACGUCAUAUCAGACUCCCCAGAUGCAGUCGGCUGCACAGUACGGCAAAAAAAAAAUACAUUAUUCAAAUUGUGCCUGGUCUCAGAGGCAGUAAAUCUCUGACUCUUAUAGAAAGUCAGCGCCACUUAUUGCCGGGGCAUGGGGGCACACACUGAAUGCACACAGGCUGCCAUUCAUUCUACCUGGCAUGGGCAUGAACUCCUGUGCCCACAGCCUACACCCAGCAUUGGCACUGAGCAUGGGGACAGGAGGAGAUCAGCUCCCACCUGCCAGGAUUCCAACACACUUCAGUAUGCUGAAUGGAGAAUCUGCUGCACUGUUCGGCUAUCAGACUGGGCAUGGGACCUUAUACUGGGAAAACUGGAGUCAGAGGUGUUGGAAUCACAUCCAGUCAACUGGACUCUGCUUCUCUCUGCACCCCAACAGGUCUGGAAAAAAGGGGAAUCGUCAAGGUGAUGGAUCAUCAGCGUCUUAAGCAUUGUAUAACUGUGUUUUUCUGCUUUUGUUUAUUAUACACCCGCAUGCACUGGAUAUUGUAAUGUGGAAAUGAAGAACAAUUUUUUUUAUUUAUUUAUAUAUUAUUUAAUACUCUGUUUUGUGUAAUGUUUAUUAAAUGGUUAUUAACUAAUAAUACAAUUAGUGGGUAUUUUAGAUUCUAAUUUUAAAUUAUUUUCAUUUUCAGUUUUCAAAUUUGUACUUAUUUUUUGUCAGAUGGAAAAAAAAAUCUAGCAAGUAAAUUCAUUUUCGUUAGUACUUAAGUGAACAUUAUCUACUAGAAAUAGAAUUUUAUAUCUCACUAAUUGUAUGUAAAAAUUGAUCCUUAUUGUUGGGAUUGUUUCAGAGCUGCGAGUUCUUUCUAUUUGUUUUAUUUUGCUAAAAGGAACGGGUUGAAGACUAAAUAAGAUGAUAUAUAAUUCAGGGAAUAUCCAAUUUACACAUAUUUGUUGGAGUGCGGGUCUUUCAGGAAAGAAGGAGACAGAGGAAUGCUGCGGGGAUGGGAUCAAAUUGAA